rnacentral:rRNA from 1 species
UACCAGCACCCGAGUGGUCGGACGAUUAUUGGGCUAAGCAUCGUAGCCGGUCAUGACAAGUCGUUCCGUUAAAUACCCAGCCGCUCCAACGGGUUGGGCUGCGGAGGAUACUACGGUGGCUAGGAGGCGGGAGAGGCAAGCGGUACUCAGUGGGUAGGGGUAAAAUCCUUUGAAUCCAUUGAAGACCACCAGUGGCGAAGGCGGCUUGCCAGAACGCGCUCGACGGUG